rnacentral:lncRNA from 1 species
AAAACAUGGAGCAAUGUUUGCUCUAUUUCUUCAAAUGUAGCAUUGGGAUUUGACUGUUUCAACCUUUUGAGAUAGGCUGAGAAAGUAGGGAGACUGACUGUAUUAUAUGUAGCAGAGUUGAAGGUUGUGGGUUGUGGAGGUAUUCUUUUCAAAGGUAAAGUAGCAGGAUUAGUAUUGAAGAUAUCCCACCAUUUAACCUUCACGGUUUUGCCAAGUUGGGGAAUGUAAGUAUAGUCAAGAGUAUUAUUUUCAGAGAUUGAAU